ACACCAGCUUCGGCCGCUGAUGACCGAUUGACUUCAGCUGAUGUCGCCGCCUUGGAAAACGCACUCGAAAGCAUCGGUGUACAGCGCAAGCGGCUCUUAAAUGAGAAAGAAGGUCUGACAGAGCUCAAAGAAGAAAUAGCUGAAUACAAAGAAUAAGAUAUUGAGGAAUCGAAGGACUUCUUGGAGUCUUCUGCUACCCAACAAGCACCAGAACGUAAACGCUUAGUCCAGCCCAAUGCCUUUUUCUCUCUGUUAACCGCAUGAUCCAUCAACUGGACGGUCCAUUUGAUCGCCUAGAAGGACGAGAAGAGCGAGAAAAAGUGACUGAAGUUGAAGAGAUUGUCUUCAUAGGAGAAUUAAUUGCUUCAAUCCGAAGACAGCAGGCUGUGGAGAAUUCGAAGAAGCUUCAAAAUUGUCCAACUCCUUGGGCAGAUUGAUCAAGUUUGUGAUAGAGUCGUCAAAGUUGAUGAUCUCGUGAAGGUGAUUGAAUUACUGAAUGAUGAAAAGAUCCAAAUGACCUCGAAGCAAAUGACAGAAAUCCUAAAUUUGGUCAGCAAAGAAGAAUUUUUCUUGAAAUUCAUAUGGAGAGAAAAGUCGAAAAGGCUCUCGAUGAAGCAAAAGUAGCGACAGAUGAAUUAUCGCACUUAGCAGCAUCCACAAAAGCCAAACCAAAAGACUGUCAAAUAAGCCAAGCCAUAACGUUACCUGCAGGAACCUCAUGGAGUCGUCACUAACGAUGGAAAUUCAAUGGAUCGUCAAGUUUAUCCCUCAAUUCUACGCUUCUUCGAAUAUCGACAGAUCGAGAAAAAUCUAUCGGACUUUAACUUGAUCGUCUGGUUUCGUUGGGAAGGGAUUUACUUUCCCGUCUGCCUGGACGUGGGGUCAAAAGGAGCUAGGAGUUGGCCAGCUUGGACUAUCAGAUUGCGUCUCAGGUGAAUCCCCCCAAUCUGUACGUCCUUUACUUGACAAUGACAUACGAAUAUGCAAAGUGGUUUGCGGCUCACAGCUUUCAUUGGCGCUCACGUUGGAUGGACGUGUACUUGCGUGUGGAGUUACUAGUACAAGUCGAGCCACACUGAAGUAUCCUUAUCUUUCUCUAGUCUCUACUACCAUCAUCUGAGCACCAAUAUUUCUAAUAGAAGUGUUUUCAUACAACGUGGGGAAAUUAAUUAUGGAUACUUGUUUCUUA